rnacentral:rRNA from 1 species
GGGUUGUGAGGUUAAGCGACUAAGCGUACACGGUGGAUGCCCUGGCAGUCAGAGGCGAUGAAGGACGUGCUAAUCUGCGAUAAGCGUCGGUAAGGUGAUAUGAACCGUUAUAACCGGCGAUUUCCGAAUGGGGAAACCCAGUGUGUUUCGACACACUAUCAUUAACUGAAUCCAUAGGUUAAUGAGGCGAACCGGGGGAACUGAAACAUCUAAGUACCCCGAGGAAAAGAAAUCAACCGAGAUUCCCCCAGUAGCGGCGAGCGAACGGGGAGCAGCCCAGAGCCUGAAUCAGUGUGUGUGUUAGUGGAAGCGUCUGGAAAGGCGUGCGAUACAGGGUGACAGCCCCGUACACAAAAAUGCACAUGCUGUGAGCUCGAUGAGUAGGGCGGGACACGUGGUAUCCUGUCUGAAUAUGGGGGGACCAUCCUCCAAGGCUAAAUACUCCUGACUGACCGAUAGUGAACCAGUACCGUGAGGGAAAGGCGAAAAGAACCCCGGCGAGGGGAGUGAAAAAGAACCUGAAACCGUGUACGUACAAGCAGUGGGAGCACGCUUAGGCGUGUGACUGCGUACCUUUUGUAUAAUGGGUCAGCGACUUAUAUUCUGUAGCAAGGUUAACCGAAUAGGGGAGCCGAAGGGAAACCGAGUCUUAACUGGGCGUUAAGUUGCAGGGUAUAGACCCGAAACCCGGUGAUCUAGCCAUGGGCAGGUUGAAGGUUGGGUAACACUAACUGGAGGACCGAACCGACUAAUGUUGAAAAAUUAGCGGAUGACUUGUGGCUGGGGGUGAAAGGCCAAUCAAACCGGGAGAUAGCUGGUUCUCCCCGAAAGCUAUUUAGGUAGCGCCUCGUGAAUUCAUCUCCGGGGGUAGAGCACUGUUUCGGCAAGGGG